GUCCACGCCGUAAACGUUGGGCACUAGGUGUGGGACCCUUCCAACGGGUUCUGUGCCGCAGCUAACGCAUUAAGUGCCCCGCCUGGGGAGUACGGCCGCAAGGCUAAAACUCAAAGGAAUUGACGGGGGCCCGCACAAGCGGCGGAGCAUGUUGCUUAAUUCGAGGCAACGCGAAGAACCUUACCUGGGCUUGACAUGCAGGGAAAAGCCGUAGAGAUACGGUGUCCUUCGGGCCUUGCACAGGUGGUGCAUGGCUGUCGU
rnacentral:rRNA from 1 species